rnacentral:rRNA from 1 species
CGGCGGACGGGUGAGUAACACGUGGAUAACCUACCUAUAAGACUGGGAUAACUUCGGGAAACCGGAGCUAAUACCGGAUAAUAUAUUGAACCGCAUGGUUCAAUAGUGAAAGACGGUUUUGCUGUCACUUAUAGAUGGAUCCGCGCCGCAUUAGCUAGUUGGUAAGGUAACGGCUUACCAAGGCAACGAUGCGUAGCCGACCUGAGAGGGUGACCGGCCACACUGGAACUGAGACACGGUCCAG